UUUUAAUUCCAAAUCCAAUUUUUUUUAAGAAAAAUCGAUAAAUACUCCAAACACUGAAUAAUCAGCCAACAAUAAGCAACUCUAUAUGUGAAUCAAGUACAACAACAGUUACUUAAAAUGUUUGGUUUUCAAUUGCAACAAGAAUAACAUUUUUCCAUAUAAUGACAAGUAUCAUGAACAUAAAAUUUUGUUGACAAUCAAAUGGAUUUGCCAACAGUGAAUGGAUGACUACAGAUGCUUCAAUAAGAGUGCAAUUCUAACCAACACAUAAGAGAUAAAGAGGUAGCUCAGCAAAAAUCUUAUCGUAACAAGCAAAAUGAAACUAAAACCUAAAGAUCGACGAUCGACAAUGGUGACUUCGACGGUUGGAGAACUCAUUUGGAUCAACACUGACAACCGAAGAUUGGAGCCUCAAUGUUUGAAAUACAUAGCAUCAACAAAUCCAAUUAAAAAAAAUUGAGAAUCUGAUCACGAGAAAAGAUAUAAAAAGGCAACUCAGGCAGAAAUCUUUCUGUAACCAGCAAAACGUGACACGAAAGAAGGAUUUCAGAUCGAGGACGAAGAUUUUGGUGGUUGGAGAGCUCGUUUGAUUAAUCGACAACCAAAGAUUCAGAUUUAGGAUUAGUGGAGAGAGAGACAGAGAGCUACAGAUCGGGGGCGACGAUUUGGGUGUUUGGAGAGCUCGUUUGGUUAAUUAACAAGCAAAAUUUCAGAUUUAGGACUAGUGGAGAGGCAAAGAGCUCAUUGAAGAUUGGAUCAUAUGGAAUUGCAAAUGGG
rnacentral:lncRNA from 1 species